GCUCCUAUAGCACAGCGGUAGUGCAGCUCACUUGUAAUGAGCAGGUCGUUCGUUCGAAUCGGACUGGGAGCU
rnacentral:tRNA from 1 species